rnacentral:rRNA from 1 species
AAUGAACGCUGGCGGCAUGCCUAACACAUGCAAGUCGAACGAAGGCUUCGGCCUUAGUGGCGCACGGGUGCGUAACGCGUGGGAAUCUGCCCUUGGGUUCGGAAUAACAGUUAGAAAUGACUGCUAAUACCGGAUGAUGUCGUGAGACCAAAGAUUUAUUGCCCAAGGAUGAGCCCGCGUAGGAUUAGCUAGUUGGUGGGGUAAAGGCCCACCAAGGCGACGAUCCUUAGCUGGUCUGAGAGGAUGAUCAGCCACACUGGGACUGAGACACGGCCCAGACUCCUACGGGAGGCAGCAGUGGGGAAUAUUGGACAAUGGGCGAAAGCCCGAUCCAGCAAUGCCGCGUGAGUGAUGAAGGCCUUAGGGUUGUAAAGCUCUUUUACCAGGGAUGAUAAUGACAGUACCUGGAGAAUAAGCUCCGGCUAACUCCGUGCCAGCAGCCGCCGUAAAAC